AAAGAUUAAGCCAUGCAUGUCUAAGUAUAAGCAAUUAUACAGCGAAACUGCGAAUGGCUCAUUAAAUCAGUUAUCGUUUAUUUGAUAGUACCCUACUACAUGGAUAACCGUGGUAAUUCUAGAGCUAAUACAUGCUAAAAAUCCCGACUUCGGAAGGGAUGUAUUUAUUAGAUUAAAAACCAAUGCCCUUCGGGGCUUCCUGGUGAUUCAUAAUAACUUCUCGAAUCGCACGGCCUUGCGCCGGCGAUGGUUCAUUCAAAUUUCUGCCCUAUCAACUUUCGACGGCUGGGUCUUGGCCAGCCGUGGUAA
rnacentral:rRNA from 1 species